rnacentral:rRNA from 1 species
AUGCACGCUGGCGACGUGCCUAAUACCUGCAAGUCGCGCGCACAGACGAGGAGCUUGCUCCUCUGACGUUAGCGGCGGACGGGUGAGUAACACGUGGAUAACCUACCUAUAAGACUGGGAUAACUUCGGGAAACCGGAGCUAAUACCGGAUAAUAUAUUGAACCGCAUGGUUCAAUAGUGAAAGACGGUUUUGCUGUCACUUAUAGAUGGAUCCGCGCCGCAUUAGCUAGUUGGUAAGGUAACGGCUUACCAAGGCAACGAUGCGUAGCCGACCUGAGAGGGUGAUCGGCCACACUGGAACUGAGACACGGUCCAGACUCCUACGGGAGGCAGCAGUAGGGAAUCUUCCGCAAUGGGCGAAAGCCUGACGGAGCAACGCCGCGUGAGUGAUGAAGGUCUUCGGAUCGUAAAACUCUGUUAUUAGGGAAGAACAAAUGUGUAAGUAACUAUGCACGUCUUGACGGUACCUAAUCAGAAAGCCACGGCUAACUACGUG